GCUGGCGGCGUGCCUAACACAUGCAAGUCGAACGCGAAAGCCCCGCAAGGGGUAAGUAGAGUGGCAAACGGGUGAGUAACACGUGGGUGACCUGCCUUCGAGUGGGGGAUAACGUCCCGAAAGGGACGCUAAUACCGCAUGACAUCCUGCGUUUGGAAACGCGGAGAUCAAAGCCUGGGAUCGCAAGACCUGGCGCUUGAAGAGGGGCCCGCGCCUGAUUAGCUAGUUGGUGGGGUAACGGCUCACCAAGGCAACGAUCAGUAUCCGGCCUGAGAGGGCGGACGGACACACUGGGACUGAGACACGGCCCAGACUCCUACGGGAGGCAGCAGUGGGGAAUUGUUCGCAAUGGGCGCAAGCCUGACGACGCAACGCCGCGUGGAGGACGAAGAUCUUCGGGUCGUAAACUCCUGUCGAGCGGGAAGAACGCUUCCCGGGUGAAUAAUCCGGGGAAUUGACGGUACCGCUAAAGGAAGCCCCGGCUAACUCCGUGCCAGCAGCCGCGGUAAUACGGGGGGGGCAAGCGUUGUUCGGAAUUACUGGGCGUAAAGGGCUCGUAGGCGGCCAACUAAGUUCGGAUGUGAAAUCCCCAGGCUUAACCCUGGGGAACUGCAUCCGAUACUGGAUGGCUUGAAUUC
rnacentral:rRNA from 1 species